CCAGGUCUCCAGCUGGGGUGGAUGAGCCCACCAGCCGCCGAAGGCCAGGACGCCAGGUCCGGCGGACGUGCGGAGAGGGACAUGACAUGGUCCGGAGUGACGGCGAGGACAGAGGAGGCGCGUCCGGCCUUCCUGAACAUCUUUGGCUGGUGGAGCAGGCUGCGGCAAGAAGCGGGUCUCUUCCUUGACUUCCCUGACGGGGUCGGCACACUACUGCUGGUCUUUGGACUCCCAGAACCCACACAAUGCAAGAAAUGGUGCUACCCAGCUCACGCCUGGGCCUUUGAAUCCAGAAACGUCUGCAUGUACCUCUCACUGAUAACAGGAAUACUGCACUUUAAACCACUGCACACCCUCACUCAGGAAUCGGCCCUGGAAGGUGAAGCUGAAGGAACGAGACCUCAUCGACCCAACACCAAAGACGCCAUGGGAACAGCGGCGCCCGCAGCACCCACCCCCCACCAGCGACUCCAUCUUCGUGGCCACGCCCUGCCGUGGACGGUUGACCACCAGCCACCACGUCAUCCCAGCGCUGAGCUCCUCCAGCGGGAUGACCCCGUCCCACCACCUCCCUCUUCUUUUUCUUCAUCCUUCUGUCUCUUUGCUUCUGACCUUUCCUGUCUUUCUUCCUGGGAGACUCGAAGCCUCCACAGCUCUGUCCCCCGCCCCUUCUGAAUUCAUUUGCACUAAGUCGUUUGCACUGGUUGGAGCUGUGUAGACGGCCUUGAGUCUCCGUGCGAGUGUGUGUGAGUGAGAGCCACCUUGGCGAGCGCCCGCCUGGGGCCCGGCCGCCCUCCAACUGGGCCGGGUAACUGGGUGCGGGUCGUGUGCGUGAGGCCUCGCCCACCCUCGCCUAGUCUGGAGGCUCCCGCGACAAGGAGCAACCUUGAAGCAUUCCAUUACGCCCCAUCUCGCUCUGUGCCCCUCCCCACCAGGGCUUCAGCAGGAGCCCUGGACUCAUCAUCAAUAAACUCUGUUACAACAACUUGUCUCGGGGUCUUUGGAAUCGAGGCUGUGGGCAUGAUGGGGGGGAGGC
rnacentral:lncRNA from 1 species